rnacentral:rRNA from 1 species
GACGAACGCUGGCGGCGUGCCUAAUACAUGCGAGUCGAACGCUGAAGGAGGAGCUUGCUUCUCUGGAUGAGUUGCGAACGGGUGAGUAACGCGUAGGUAACCUGCCUGGUAGCGGGGGAUAACUAUUGGAAACGAUAGCUAAUACCGCAUAAGAGUAGAUGUUGCAUGACAUUUGCUUAAAAGGUGCAAUUGCAUCACUACCAGAUGGACCUGCGUUGUAUUAGCUAGUUGGUGAGGUAACGGCUCACCAAGGCGACGAUACAUAGCCGACCUGAGAGGGUGAUCGGCCACACUGCGACUGAGACACGGCCCAGACUCCUACGGGAGGCAGCAGUAGGGAAUCUUCGGCAAGGGACGGAAGUCUGACCGAGCAACGCCGCGUGAGUGAAGAAGGUUUUCGGAUCGUAAAGCUCUGUUGUAAGAGAAGAACGAGUGUGAGAGUGGAAAGUUCACACUGUGACGGUAUCUUACCAGAAAGGGACGGCUAACUACGUG